rnacentral:lncRNA from 1 species
GGCCGUGCCCUGCAGAGAUGGGAGGCGAGGCCGUGCCCUGCUGAGAUGGGAGGUGAGGCCGUGCCCUGCUGAGGUGGGAGGUGAGGCCGUGCCCUGCUGAGGUGGGAGGUGAGGCCGUGCCCUGCCGAGGGCUUCGUUAUACAGGGAGGAUAACUGGAGGGAAUGUGAGGUCAGUGGAGGGUGUUAGUAUUUUACAUGGGAAAUAAUAGAUACUGAAAAGGGAAGAAAUUAUAUGCAAGAGAGAGGGAUUAAUUAUAGAAACCAAGACCUUGAGUCAGUGACAGGGUAGGGGAACCAGGGCAGCAGCAGAGGG